rnacentral:pre_miRNA from 1 species
UUUGCGGUGGUUUCUGAUUCGCUUGGUGCAGGUCGGGAACUUUUUUCCGUGUUUUUUCGCCGUAUUUGUUCCCGCCUUGCAUCAACUGAAUCUGCGACCGCGGCAAUU